CCUGAUUUUCUAUUGGUCAAUACUCAUGGCAUCGCCUACAAACGCCACGUUUCCCUCCUCUUAAAAGCUCGGAACCCUCUCGAUCCCUCUCCUUAACGAAGCUAUAAGUUGUAAACGCAAACACUCUCGAUAACUCGAAUAACAAUUUUUUUUGGGUGGGAUUUAGCGAUCUUGUUUCUCUUGUGAACGCAGAACAUUCUUCUGGGGAUUUGGAUUCGAUUUUCUUGAAAAAAAAAUGAAGAACACCUGGACCAUAUCGAUGAUAUUCUUUACAUGUUCUCUGUUAUUAUUCGCCUUCGUAGAGUCAAAAUCUCUUGACCCGUAUAAGGUACUAGGAGUAGAAAAGGAUGCAAGUUGGAGGCAAAUUCAAAAAGCUUUCCACAAGCUCUCUCUUCAAUAUCAUCCCGAUAAGAACAAAAAUAAAGGCGCUUAGGAAAAGUUUGAAGAAAUAAAUGACGCAUAUGAAAUUUUAUCCGAUGAAGAAAAGAGAAAAAAUUACGAUAUGUACGGAUCAUUACAAAGUCGGCAAUGGAUCGUCUUAACGUUUCAAUCAUGGCGGAUUCUCUUAUUUCCUCUAUCGCAACCUUUCACACCACCAAAAUCAUCGUCAUAGAUCCCACUAAAUAUUCCUUCAUUGGCUCAAUCCCUGAAGCUAUGUAUGCUUGCGAGUCUGACGCAAGUAACGUUAUUCAAGAGUAUAAGAAGCAUCCUUCUUCGGCCCCAUGGGAACUCACUCUAACCAUGGUUCGUUCAAUAGAGGAGGCUGACAGGCUAGCCAAGAGGGGAAAGAAAUCAGACACACAGAAGGAGGCAACAUAGGUAAAUCAACCAAGGGUCAAACCCCUAAAAAACGAAAGUCUGACAAGGCUGCUCCUUUACAACCUAAACAGAAGAAGCAGAAGAAGCCAACUCGGAGACUAAUUCUUCAAUCCUUAAGCGAUUCAGACUCUGUGUAUAUUCCUCCUCUUACCAAACCUUCUACUCACUCAGACUCAGAGAGCGAAAGCUCUGACGACGAGGCUUCGGGUCGUGGUGGAACCCCCCCUCGCUCGCCUACCCCAAAGGAACCUGUUCGCUCCAAACCCCCUUCUCCUCCACUUGUUUCGGUACCUGUCUCUAUCCCUCCAAUCACUACAUCUCAACCAUCAACUAUUAUUCCCAUCCCUGAUCCAAUCUUUACUGAAGCAACAACAACCACCACUACUGGAGUUCGAACCAACGUAUUUAUAGGCAGUCUUCGGACUUGAAACCCGGACUUCAGCAUCAAUUAUGUUUUGGAAAAUGGUUUUGUUUUCUUUUUAUAGAAAAAUCAUUUGGUUUUAUUAUCUCAGUCAGAUUCCCUGAAAAAUGACUGCAGAGAUUCCACUUAAUUUGCAGAGAUUCCAUCUUCUUUGGCUGGAUCCGAUUUUUUUAUUGGUUUUGUCUUUUUUUGUUCUUCUUGCUCGAUGCAUCUUCUUUGGAGUGAAUACUUGCAGCUUCAUUCAUUAGUUGAUCAUCUUGUAAUGAAGAUGAGUUGCUACGGUCCAUUAUAUGGAAAAAAAUAUUAAGAGAAAAUCCAAUUAUUUCCCAAAAUGAACUAAAUAAACUAAUCCAAAAACGAGAAAAAAUGUUAACAGAUUUCUCGUUGGAAGAUGAUGACAACAUGUCCUUACAAGGAUAUUUCGAUAAUGAAGAUAUGGAUGGUAUUAGUUUAGAAGAACAAGAUGAUCAACUAAUGAAUGAAGCUGUAAGUAUUCACUCCAAAGAAGGUGCAUCGAGCAAGAAGAACGAAAAAAGACAAAACCAAUAAAAAAAUCGGAUCCAGCCAAAGAAGAUGGAAUCUCUGCAUAUUAAGUGGAAUCUCUGCAGUCAUUUUUCAGGGAAUCUGACUGAGAUAAUAAAACCAAAUGAUUUUUCUAUAAAAAGAAAACAAAACCAUUUUCCAAGACAUAAUUGAUGCUGAAGUACGGGUUUCAAGUCCGAAGACUGCCUAUAAAUAGAGUCUCGCUCAUUUGAAGAAGGAUUUGGUAAACCCUAAUUAACUCACGAGAUAAAUUCUUCUCGCAAUCACUUUCGAAACCCUGAACGGCUGAUUCAUGAUCGCAAACCGAUUCCCGUUACAGUUGAUAACCCCCCUGUGUUUUAAUUAGUUAACAUUAGUAAUAGUUUUAAUUAUUAUUAUUGGUCACCGUGUUCGAUAUCUUACUUACCUGCACUAAACUACAAUUCGAUUACAUACAUUAUCUAUCGUUUGUUGGUUUUUGUCUAAAUUAGUUUGGAUUAAAACUAGUAUUUUACAUGUAUGAAGAUUCUAUCAAAAA